rnacentral:rRNA from 1 species
UACCAGCACCCCGAGUGGUCGGGACGUUUAUUGGGCCUAAAGCAUCCGUAGCCGGUUCUACAAGUCUUCCGUUAAAUCCACCUGCUUAACAGAUGGGCUGCGGAGGAUACUAUGGAGCUAGGAGGCGGGAGAGGCAAGCGGUACUUAGUGGGUAGGGGUAAAAUCCGUUGAUCCAUUGAAGACCACCAGUGGCGAAGGCGGCUUGCCAGAACGCACUCGACGGUGAGGGAUGAAAGCUGGGGGAGCAAACCGG